rnacentral:rRNA from 1 species
UACGUAGGGUGCGAGCGUUGUCCGGAUUUAUUGGGCGUAAAGAGCUCGUAGGCGGUCUGUCGCGUCUGCUGUGAAAACUCGGGGCUUAACCCCGGGCCUGCAGUGGGUACGGGCAGACUAGAGUGCGGUAGGGGAGACUGGAAUUCCUGGUGUAGCGGUGAAAUGCGCAGAUAUCAGGAGGAACACCGGUGGCGAAGGCGGGUCUCUGGGCCGUAACUGA